CAGAAACAUCGAAUGAAUGCUGAAAUUCCUAGUCUGGUUUCUUCAGUGGUGUGUUUGUGUUUUAGUACAACCUGCAAAAGAGUUACUCCAUUGUCUAAAAAUGCAAAUGAGAAUUUCCAAAUAUACAAAAUGCCUCCAAGCUCAAAUAGCUAUAACUGUACCAAAGACAUGGAAGAAACCAAAAGAUCGGACCCGAACCACUGAAGAGAUGUUAGAGGCAGAAUUGGAGCCUAAAGCUGAAGAGGAGCUUUCCGUUGACAAAGUACUUGAAUCUGAACAAGAUAAAAUGAGCCAGGGGUUUCAUCCCGAAAGAGACCCCUCUGACCUAAAAAAAGUGAAAGCCGUGGAAGAAAAUGGAGAAGAAGCUGAGCCAGUACGUAAUGGUGCUGAGAGUGCUUCUGAGGGUGAAGGAAUAGAUGCUAAUUCAGGCUCCACCGAUAGUUCUGGUGAUGGGGUUACAUUUCCAUUUAAACCAGAAUCCUGGAAGCCUACUGAUACUGAAGGUAAGAAGCAGUAUGACAGGGAGUUUCUGCUGGACUUCCAGUUCAUGCCUGCCUGUAUACAAAAACCAGAGGGCCUGCCUCCUAUCAGUGAUGUGGUUCUUGACAAGAUCAACCAACCCAAAUUGCCAAUGCGAACUCUGGAUCCUCGAAUUUUGCCUCGAGGACCAGACUUUACACCAGCCUUUGCUGAUUUUGGAAGGCAGACACCUGGUGGAAGAGGCGUACCUGUAAGUGCAAGUUCCCCACAACUCACUUAGUUAGACACUGGCACAGACUCCAUGAAAUCCUACCUCACGGCAAGACAGCAGCUUUUAUUCGUUGAUUCUAGUCAAGAAGAAGAAGAAGAGGCAAAGACUAUCCUUUCCAUACUCAUAUUAAAGCAGAUAAAGAAUACACUUGAGUUGUUUUUACUUGGCAGAAGCUAGUCUGCAUUAAUUUGGUCGUGAUUUUUUUUUUCCCUAUUUUUUCAAUUGAGGUGACCUACAAAUAGGUUUAAAAAUGGUGCCAACCACGGCCAGGGAUGGUGGCUCAGGUCUGUAAUGCUAGCACUUUGUGGGGUCAAGGCAGGAGGAUCACUUGAGGUCAGGAGUUCAAGACCAGCCUGGCAACAAAGAGAGACCUUGUCUCUACCAC
rnacentral:sRNA from 1 species